rnacentral:rRNA from 1 species
UACGAAGGGGGCUAGCGUUGUUCGGAAUUACUGGGCGUAAAGCGCACGUAGGCGGAUACUUAAGUCAGGGGUGAAAUCCCGGGGCUCAACCCCGGAACUGCCUUUGAUACUGGGUAUCUCGAGUCCGGAAGAGGUGAGUGGAAUUCCGAGUGUAGAGGUGAAAUUCGUAGAUAUUCGGAGGAACACCGGUGGCGAAGGCGGGUCUCUGGGCCGAUACUGACGCUGAGGAGCGAAAGCGUGGGGAGCGAACAGG